CCAAGAGCUCGUGAACCCGUUGGGAGGGAAGCCCAGGGCGGCGAGGCCGUCGAGAGCUCGGUGCCGGGUUCAGUCGGCGUCGCGUGCGGCGUCGGCGCAGUUCCGGUGCGAGUGCGAGCGUCAGCAGGGUCCGAGUGUUGCGGCGCGUGUUWSUCGUUGCGGGGCAGGUGGUCGGCUGCUUCCUGGCGGAGGCGUCGGCUCUUAGAGUCCGCGGCGAGUGCGCGUUGCGAACGGGCUGUGUAGCGUUGUGGGCGUCGAGUCGCCCAAGUUGGUGUAGACGCAGUCCUCGCCUCUGUGGGUGGGGAUCGGGCGCCGUCGUCGGGAGUGUCGCGUGUCUUCGAUCGAGUCCGUGAGUCGUCGAGGCGGCGAUCGGACGAUCUUGGUUCGCGUCGGCGCUAUCGGGCGUGGGYGAUCCGUGCGACUGCGUCGAGUCUGUUGG
rnacentral:sRNA from 1 species